rnacentral:tRNA from 1 species
AUAGUUUAGAUGGAAUUAGCCAGAUAAAUAAUGAAGUAUCAGAAGCACUGAUUUGUAAUCAGUAGGUCCGCGGUUCGAGUCCGUGUGGGGGCACCA